rnacentral:rRNA from 1 species
GACGAACGCUGGCGGCGUGCUUAACACAUGCAAGUCGAACGGAAAGGCCCUGCUUUUGUGGGGUGCUCGAGUGGCGAACGGGUGAGUAACACGUGAGUAACCUGCCCUUGACUUUGGGAUAACUUCAGGAAACUGGGGCUAAUACCGGAUAGGAGCUCCUGCUGCAUGUUGUGGGUUGGAAAGUUUCGGCGGUUGGGGAUGGACUCGCGGCUUAUCAGCUUGUUGGUGGGGUAGUGGCUUACCAAGGCUUUGACGGGUAGCCGGCCUGAGAGGGUGACCGGCCACAGUGGGACUGAGAGACGGCCCAGACUCCUACGGGAGGCAGCAGUGGGGAAUAUUGCACAAUGGGCGGAAGCCUGAUGCAGCAACGCCGCGUGCGGGAUGACGGCCUUCGGGUUGUAAACCGCUUUCGCCUGUGACGAAGCGUGAGUGACGGUAAUGGGUAAAGAAGCACCGGCUAACUACGUG